rnacentral:rRNA from 1 species
GUAGGGUGCGAGCGUUAAUCGGAAUUACUGGGCGUAAAGCGUGCGCAGGCGGUGAUGUAAGACCGAUGUGAAAUCCCCGGGCUUAACCUGGGAACUGCAUUGGUGACUGCAUUGCUGGAGUAUGGCAGAGGGGGGUGGAAUUCCACGUGUAGCAGUGAAAUGCGUAGAGAUGUGGAGGAACACCGAUGGCGAAGGCAGCCCCCUGGGCCAAUACUGACGCUCAUGCACGAAAGCGUGGGGAGCAAACAGGAUUAGAUACCCUGGUAGUCCACGCCCUAAACGAUGUCAACUGGUUGUCGGGCCUUCAUUGGCUUGGUAACGUAGCUAACGCGUGAAGUUGACCGCCUGGGGAGUACGGUCGCAAGAUUAAA